AGAGUUUGAUCCUGGCUCAGGAUGAACGCUGGCUGCGUGCUUAACACAUGCAAGUCGAACGAAGCACCUGAGAACGAUUCUUCGGAUGAAGUCUCUUGUGACUGAGUGGCGGACGGGUGAGUAACGCGUGGGUAACCUGCCUCACACAGGGGGAUAACAGUUGGAAACGACCGCUAAUACCGCAUAACCCGCUGGUGCCGCAUGGCACUGACGGAAAAGAUUUAUCGGUGUGAGAUGGACCCGCGUCUGAUUAGCCAGUUGGCAGGGUAACGGCCUACCAAAGCGACGAUCAGUAGCCGGCCUGAGAGGGUGAACGGCCACAUUGGGACUGAGACACGGCCCAGACUCCUGCGGGAGGCAGCAGUGGGGAAUAUUGCACAAUGGGGGAAACCCUGAUGCAGCGACGCCGCGUGAGUGAAGAAGUAUUUCGGUAUGUAAAGCUCUAUCAGCAGGGAAGAAAAUGACGGUACCUGAUUAAGAAGCCCCGGCUAACUACGUGCCAGCAGCCGCGGUAAUACGUAGGGGGCAAGCGUUAUCCGGAUUUACUGGGUGUAAAGGGAGCGUAGACGGUGAUGCAAGUCAGAAGUGAAAGCCCGGGGCUCAACUCCGGGACUGCUUUUGAAACUGUGUGACUGGAGUGCAGGAGAGGUAAGCGGAAUUCCUGGUGUAGCGGUGAAAUGCGUAGAUAUCAGGAGGAACACCAGUGGCGAAGGCGGCUUACUGGACUGUAACUGACGUUGAGGCUCGAAAGCGUGGGGAGCAAACGGGAUUAGAUACCCUGGUAGUCCACGCAGUAAACGAUGAUAACUCUCUUGUCGGCGAUA
rnacentral:rRNA from 1 species